rnacentral:sRNA from 1 species
GACGAGUUGUUGCUUAUCUGCUCGUGUUCGUAUUUGGUUACUAUAGUGGUUAGGCAGGCUGUCAGCUUCUCUAACUAUUUGCUCUUAUUUGUUUAUUCGCACGAUUAUUUGUAAUGCAUGAUUACAUCGUGAAAAUAUAUAAAUAUGAUUUGGAAUGCGUAUUGUCUAAAUCGUUGUGUGCUGCCUGAAUCAUAUUACUUUUCGGGGAUUGCUGCCUGAAUCAUAUAAGAGGUAGAAGCCAAAUGAAAUGCCUCUUCAAAUUAUCUCAAUCAUUGAGAGGUCCUUAACAUGAAUUGAGAAUUUUGCCGGCUUAGCCGUG